AGUGAACGCUGGCGGUAGGCCUAACACAUGCAAGUCGAACGGCAGCACAGUAAGAGCUUGCUCUUACGGGUGGCGAGUGGCGGACGGGUGAGGAAUACAUCGGAAUCUACUUUUUCGUGGGGGAUAACGUAGGGAAACUUACGCUAAUACCGCAUACGACCUACGGGUGAAAGCAGGGGAUCUUCGGACCUUGCGCGAUUGAAUGAGCCGAUGUCGGAUUAGCUAGUUGGCGGGGUAAAGGCCCACCAAGGCGACGAUCCGUAGCUGGUCUGAGAGGAGGAUCAGCCACACUGGAGCUGAGACACGGUCCAGACUCCUGCGGGAGGGAGCAGUGGGGAAUAUUGGACAAUGGGCGCAAGCCUGAUCCAGCCAUACCGCGUGGGUGAAGAAGGCGUUCGGGUUGUAAAGCCCUUUUGUUGGGAAAGAAAAGCAGCAGGUUAAUACCCCGCUGUUCUGACGGUACCCGAAGAAUAAGCACCGGCUAACUUCGUG
rnacentral:rRNA from 1 species